GAACGCUAGCGACAGGCCUAACACAUGCAAGUCAGGGGCAGCACAAGGAGCAAUCUGAGGUGGCGACCGGCGCACGGGUGAGUAACACGUAUGCAACCUGCCUGUAAGCGGGGAAUAACCCGUUGAAAGACGGACUAAUACCGCAUAAUACUAAAUUACUGCAUGGUAAUUUAUUUAAACAUUUAUGGCUUACAGAUGGGCAUGCGCAUGAUUAGCUAGUUGGAGAGGUAACGGCUCCCCAAGGCAACGAUCAUUAGGGGUUCUGAGAGGAAGGUCCCCCACACUGGUACUGAGACACGGACCAGACUCCUACGGGAGGCAGCAGUGAGGAAUAUUGGUCAAUGGACGAGAGUCUGAACCAGCCAAGUCGCGUGCAGGAAGAAUGUCCCUAUGGAUUGUAAACUGCUUUUGCAGGGGAAUAAAGUGCAUCACGUGUGAUGUUUUGUAUGUACUCUGCGAAUAAGGAUCGGCUAACUCCGUGCCAGCCGCGGC
rnacentral:rRNA from 1 species